rnacentral:rRNA from 1 species
CCCUUAGAUGUCCGGGGCUGCACGCGCGCUACACUGAAGGAAUCAGCGUGCUAAAACCAUUGUCGAAAGGCAUUGGUAAACCCAUUAAAAUCCUACGUGAUUGGGAUCGGGAAUUGCAAUUAUUUCCCUUGAACGAGGAAUUCCCAGUAAGUGUGGGUCAUAAGCUCGCGUUGAUUACGUCCCUGCCCUUUGUACACACCGCCCGUCGCUGCCCGGGACUGAGCCGUUUCGAGAAAAGCGGGGACUGCUGCUGUCAGGGCUUUCGGGCCUUGGCUUCGGUGGAAACCGCUUUAAUCGCAGUGGCUUGAACCGGGCAAAAGUCGUAACA